GUUCCGUAGGUGAACCUGCGGAGGGAUCAUUAUUGGAUUUUGAAACUUCAGGCUGCUGCUGGCUCUCCUCGGAGGGCAUGUGCACGCUUGUUGUCCAUUAUUUCUCCCACUGUGCACAAAUUGUAGACCUUUCAGUAGGCCUAUGUUGUUUUUCACAAUCUCUGAAUGUAAUAGAAUGGUUUUGAAUCUUGGGAAAUACAAUACAACUUUCAGCAACGGAUCUCUUGGCUCUC
rnacentral:misc_RNA from 1 species